CCAGCCCCCCCACACCCUGCUCCCAAUGUGUGUUAUUGUCAGACACCCCCGUGCUGGCGGGGUCUGUGUCUCACGAGAUUUGGGGUCUGCCCAGGGCCCUGGUCUGAUUUCUGGGCAGGAUUCACAUCUCAGCCCCACCGGCGUCGCUGCUGCUUUGGGCAGGCAGGGAGUGUGGAUGGGCCAAUGGGCUCCGCCUCUGCCUGCCUGUCCCUGGGGGCUGCUGCAGGAGUCCAGGGCAGCUCAUUCUUCAGGCUGAGGAAUCACGUCCACGUUUCUCUCCAGAUGGGCCCGUCUUCGAGGACGCAGGGAAGGGAAAUGUCUGUGAUGGAGCCAGCUUGGAUGCCAGUGAGCUUCGAGGAGGUGGCUGUGUAUUUCACUCAGGCGCAGGGGGCUCUUCUGGACCCCACUCAGAGAGCCCUCUACAAGGAUGUCAUGGUGGAGAACUAUGAGACGGUGACCUCGCUGGGAUUUCCCAUUCCCAAACCUGAGCUGAUUGUCCAGCUGGAACGAGGGGAAGAGCCAUGGGUACCCGAUCUCCGGACCUGCAAGGAAAGAAGUCUUCCGAGAUGCACCCACACAGCAAACAUAUAAUAUUUUAACAGAAAAGCAGAUGUCCCUUGCUUCUCACAUGUCUCUCCAGACUUCUUCUCCCUGUCCAGAUCUAUCACACCUCCAGAAGUCUUCUAUUCAUCCAACUUUUUGAAACUUUGCACUUUUUGAGAGAGGCAUGUUACCUCUGAAGAGACAAAGCCACAGUUUGAGAACUGGAAAGCUAAGCAUCUCUGAUGGUAUCUUCUAGACUGAGCACUGAGUCCCAUUGGGUAGCUAGAAAGAUUAACCUAAGCAGUCUUUACAGAAGCCUGUGGAUCUCCAUAAGACUGGGUCGUUAAUGUAUGAACUGUUGGUACUCAUUGACAAAUCUUUUCUUAAACAAGACGUGUGUAUUGUCUCAUACUAUAGAAUUAGAAUCUACAAUCCCUAUUCCAUGAUAAGAUAUCUUUAAGAUACAUUAUAGCUCAAUUACAACUAUCUUUAGAUAAAAUGGUUUUUGAGGAAAAAAAAUCCAAUUUAAAUAACAGAAAUCUAAUUUUCUUGAUUUUUUUUUUUGAUGUCAUUGAUUUUUAUUCACCCUGGGAAGCAGUGUAAAACAUGCCCUGGGAUGGAGAAUUAAGCAGUUCAACAGUCCAGAUUGUACCGUGGGGUAUGUCUCACACUCGCUAUCUUCUGGGACCCACAUGGCACCGCUGGGCUUUCAUCAUCCUGAUCCUGAAAGGGAAGCUGAGCAGGGCAAAGCAGAGAAGAGGAACCAGCUGACAUCCUCAACUGCUUCGGCUAAAUGCUGAAAUGCCCCUGAGAUGUGAGACUUGAGGUUCUGCUGCCAGCCUUUCCCCCACGCAUCUGUUUCCUCCCCAAUGGUCAGGGGUGAAAGUCACUUAAAGGACUUAGCGAUAUGCCAGAGUCCUGAGCAGGGGGAGGGGCCUGAACUGUAUUUGGUGGUGUCUUUAAAUCCCUGGGCCCUUUACUUUGAGAUUUAAAGGGCCCGGGACUCUGGCUGUGGUAGCAGUGGCUGGGAGCCCCAGGCUCUUUAAAUCAUGUCAGGAGCUGCGGCAGCGACCGGAAGCCCCGGGGCUCGGGCAGUGAUGUAAACGGCCCAGGGCUCUGCUGCAGUAAUGGCAGCCAGAGCUCCUGGCCCAUUAAAUCGCUGCCAGAGCCCUGCUGCCAGAGCCCCAGGAUAGCAGCAGCAGCAGCCGGAAGCCCCAGGAUGUGGGUGGCGGUUUAAAGGGUCCAGGGCUCCAUAAAACAGGAGGCUGAACCUAAAGCUGGGGAACCUGGAGUAUGAAAGGGGGUUCUGCAGUGAAUAAGAAAACAGGAGAGGAAAAGUGGGUACCUGAAAAACCUUAAAGAGAAGAGAUCAUUAACCUGUGUCAGUCUAUGGCCCCCCGGGGAAUAGAAAAUACUCUCUUUUAAGGUAAAAACACUUUGAAAUAUGGCCUAAAGUGCGAGAGGAUGUAGAAAAUUUGGUUAAAAACUGUGUAAGGUGUGCAGCAGAUGGGAAAAGACCACCGAAUUUGGGACCCUUGCGGCACCAAAGACUUGUAGGGCUAUGGACUAGAAUAUAGGUUGAUUAUAUUAAGAGCCAAAGAGGGAAUCAGUAUUUAUUAGUGAUAAUAGAUUCUUUUUCUGGUUGGGUGGAGGCAAUUUCCACCAGGAAUCAUUCUGCAGAGACCACCGCCAAGAAGUUGUGGAAAGUCCUGUUUAGUAGAUAUGGGACUCCAAAAGUAAUUGGUUCAGAUGAUGGAGCACAUUUGAUAGGAAAAGUAAUUAUAAGAAUAUUAAAAGGUUUAGAAGUAAAGCAACAACUACCUAUCCCCCACCAUCCUCAAUCGUCAGGGACAGUAGAAAGGAUGGAUCAGACUAUCAAGCAAGCCCUUCGCAAAGUGGUGCAUGUCGCUGGCAAAGGUUGGGACAAUAAAUUACCAGUGGUGUUGGCAGCCAUCCAGAGCAAUGAUGGAUUGGAUACUGACUACCAGCCAGAUCACAUUCUCUUUGGAAGGUCUAUGAUAUUAUAGAACCCUUUAAUGUGGAACUCUCUAUUAUAUGGAGGAGGAGGAGUCUCUUGUUGUCCUGAGCCUUCAUCCGCAACCCGAAGGAGACAGUCUUGGGCAGGAAGCCAGAUUCCAAGGGGUGCCAUUUCCUCCAGUCCUUACACAGUUUUAAAGCCGUCCUGCUGGGAGUCCCUCCCUGCCGGGGGCAGGGGGGGCCUAGAGACCAGCCAGAGCCAGGAGUAAAAGUUUGUAGCAUGUGAGUGAGCAGGGCUGGGGGAGUCAGGCCCAACAGUGGGGGUGAGCAAGGCUGGGAACAGGCUCUGGAGGCUGGGCAGUGGGGGUUGGAGCCGAGUUUGGUAGAGCCGGGCAUGGGACUUUGUGAAGUGAAGGAGGAGGAACCGGGCUAGGGAUGGCUGGGGCGAGCUGGGAUGGGAUGGGAAAAGAGCCAGGGGCGGUGUCUUUGUCUGACUCGGUGAGCUAACAGUCAUUGGCGCUGUUUCCAUGGGUGCUCUGGGGCCGGAGCUCCCACUGAGAAAUAUUGGAGGGUGCUGUGAACCCACCGGCAGCUCCGCUUCCUCCCCUGAGCCCGCAGCGUCUCUGCUUCCUGUCUCAGCGCUUGCCGCUGCAAAACAGUUGUUUCGUGGUGUAAAAGCUUCGGGAGGGAGUGGGGAGGAGUGGGAAUGUGACGUGCUCAGGGGAGGAUGCGGGGAAGAGUUUGGGCCAGGACAGGGAUUUGGGGAUGGGAUUGGAAUAGGUCAGUGGUCCCCAACGCGGUGCCCGUGGGCGGCAUAAUGCCCGCCGGGGUAUUUAUUUGUGCCCGUCUAGUGCCCAGUAGGAGAGAGAAGCCAUGGCCCCAUAUCUGCCAGGCACAGAGAAGUCUGUGCUUGCAGGCUGCGUGCGCCGGUGUUCUCUGUCCCCGGCAGGCGCGGGGCCGCGGCUUCUCUUUGGCUUCUCCGGUGCUUCAGGCUGCGGGCGCCGGUGUUCUCUGUCCACAGCAGGCACCCUGUCGAGGACAGAGAACUCCGGGCUUUAGGCUGUGGGCGCUGGUGUUCUUAGUCCCUGGCACGUGCAGGGCCGCGGCUUAAGCCGGAGAGAAACCGUGUCACUGUGCUUGCCGAGGACAGAGAACUCCGGGGCUGCAGGUUUCAUUCUAUGUUAAAGUAAGAAUAAUAAAUAUAUUUGGACCAGCAGUUCAACAGUGUUUUACUUUUUUAAAAAAAUAAAUAAGAUGAAAACUGUUUAUGAUAUUGAUUUUUGUAAAAACUCCUUAUUUUUUCUUAGAGGUAGAUAAAAAAGAGCAAAUUCACAUGGUGAGGUGAAAGAAUAAUUGCCGAAUAAUUUAAUUAAUACCUUUUACAGGUAAAAUUACCCUUAUUAUCUUAUGGAUUUAUAUAUUAUAUAAUAUUAAAUAAGAUGUUUUUGUAUUAUUUAAUGUUCAAAUACAAAAUAAGGC